UACGUAGGGGGCAAGCGUUGUCCGGAAUUAUUGGGCGUAAAGGGCUUGUAGGCGGUUUGUCGCGUCUGCUGUGAAAUCUCAAGGCUCAACCUUGAGCUUGCAGUGGAUACGGGCAGACUAGAGUGUGGUAGGGGAGACUGGAAUUCCUGGUGUAGCGGUGAAAUGCGCAGAUAUCAGGAGGAACACCGAUGGCGAAGGCAGGUCUCUGGGCCACUACUGACGCUGAGAAGCGAAAGCAUGGGGAGCGAACAGG
rnacentral:rRNA from 1 species